AAGUCGGAUUUCGGUCUCCCCCCCGCCUCCUUCUCUUCUCUGCUCGAGAACUUCAUAGCCCUAGUUGGAGAAGAAUAACUCAGCUCUCCUCUGAUCUUCAGCCCUAAUUUCUCCUUGUCUUGUGCAUCUUGCUCAUUCGUCCUCGAUUGCAGUCCUCCUCAAUCCUCCCUUCUUCUCCUCCAUUCAUUCUCUCUUCUGAUUGCAGCUCAGCUCGUCCUCGAUUGCAGCUCUUCUACUCUGGUUCGGUCGCUGAGGCGCAAGGCUUGUCUACUGAGGAGAGUCGAAUUAGUCGAUGUUGCUUCUCUCACUUCUAUGUGCUGUCUGUGGCUCUAUGCUAGUGUGACUGGUCUGUGCCUCUGGCUCUGUGUCUGUGUUGUUCUUGGUCUGUGCUGCCAUUGCUGAAAUUGAACGAAAAAUCCUAACUAAAUGUAGGAAACUAUAGAUUCGAUGCUUCAGUUGCUCUUGCACAAUUUGCUUGUUGAAUGAAUUGAAUGCUUCCAGUGAAUGUGGUUCUCUGGUAAUCUUCAUCACGCAUUUUAUCGUCGGAUCUCUGCUGGGUCAAUUCCCUGAAUAUCAACUGUUGAGACUUGAGAAGCAUUUCUGGUGAACGUGUAAUGAAAUUGCUUGCCAGUUGGAUAUGCAGUUGCUCCUUGCUGGCUUUGUUGAAGAGUUUGUUUGAAUUCUAUGAAUGAUACUUUUUUUUUUUUGCUUAGGAAAAUAUGAUGCAUAUAUAUAUACUGUUUUUUUAAUUACAUAUAGAAUUUUACAAUUCACGAUUCUAAGACCCUCUACUGAUUUUAGGUAGAAUCGCGAUUCUGACAACCUUAAUUACCACACAAUAUGUAGUUUAUCUACAACCUAAUAAAGUUAAGCUUAAAUAUAAAAUAAAUAACAUAUGUUAUACAAUAAUUUGUUGUUUGCAUUCAACUUUAAUAUAUUAUACAACAAGAUAAAAUAGAUAACAUAUACAUAUAUAUCUCAACAUGUGCAUAAUUAAAGUCUAUAUAUCAGCAUGCGCAUAUAUAUAGUUUUCUUAUUUAGUAAGAAUCAAUAUAUCUCCAAUAAUAGCGCGUGUGACAAUUCAAUGUGUUUGUGUAUAUGUGUGUAUAUAUAUAUAAGGCACGAAUGGCAUAGGUAAGUAAUCUGAGGCAUAGUGUGUCGAUCUUUUAGAGGAGAAUAACAAUCCGAGUUGCAAUGUGAGUAGAGAUUUUGAGACGCUACAAUGGUUUAUCACAUGAAGAUUGAGGGAUGCCAUGAACACAAGGAUUAAUGAAGUCAUUAGUCUUAACAUGAUUUUUCUUGAUCCACUGAAAAAAUAAAUUUGAAAUAUAUUUCAACUGUACUCAUAAUAUAGAUUAUGUAUAUAUUGAUUCCUUUUUUACAUAUAACAAUAUAUUCCGUUUGUGGUAUUGA